AGUGAACGCUGGCGGUAGGCCUAACACAUGCAAGUCGAACGGCAGCACAGGAGAGCUUGCUCUCUGGGUGGCGAGUGGCGGACGGGUGAGGAAUACAUCGGAAUCUACUCUGUCGUGGGGGAUAACGUAGGGAAACUUACGCUAAUACCGCAUACGGCCUACGGGUGAAAGCAGGGGACCUUCGGGCCUUGCGCGAUUGAAUGAGCCGAUGUCGGAUUAGCUAGUUGGCGGGGUAAAGGCCCACCAAGGCGACGAUCCGUAGCUGGUCUGAGAGGAUGAUCAGCCACACUGGAACUGAGACACGGUCCAGACUCCUACGGGAGGCAGCAGUGGGGAAUAUUGGACAAUGGGCGCAAGCCUGAUCCAGCCAUACCGCGUGGGUGAAGAAGGCCUUCGGGUUGUAAAGCCCUUUUGUUGGGAAAGAAAUCCAGCUGGCUAAUACCCGGUUGGGAUGACGGUACCCAAAGAAUAAGCACCGGCUAGCUUCGUGCCAGCCGCCGCGGUAA
rnacentral:rRNA from 1 species